GUAGGUGGCAAGCGUUGUCCGGAAUUAUUGGGCGUAAAGCGCGCGCAGGCGGUUCUUUAAGUCUGAUGUGAAAGCCCACGGGCUCAACCGUGGAGGGUCAUUGGAAACUGGAGAACUUGAGUACAGAAGAGGAAAGCGGAAUUCCACGUGUAGCGGUGAAAUGCGUAGAGAUGUGGAGGAACACCAGUGGCGAAGGCGGCUUUCUGGUCUGUAACUGACGCUGAGGCGCGAAAGCGUGGGGAGCAAACAGGAUUAGAUACCCUGGUAGUCCACGCCGUAAACGAUGAGUGCUAAGUGUUAGGGGGUUUCCGCCCCUUAGUGGUGCAGCUAACGCAUUAAGCACUCCGCCUGGGGAGUACGGCCGCAAAGGCUG
rnacentral:rRNA from 1 species